rnacentral:rRNA from 1 species
CCUACGGGAGGCUGCAGUGGGGAAUAUUGCACAAUGGGGGAAACCCUGAUGCAGCGACGCCGCGUGAGUGAAGAAGGAAUUCGUUAUGUAAAGCUCUAUCAGCAGGGAAUAAAAUGACGGUACCUGAGUAAGAAGCCCCGGCUAACUACGUGCCAGCAGCCGCGGUAAUACGUAGGGGGCAAGCGUGAUCCGGAUGUACUGGGUGGAAAGGGAGCGUAGACGGGAGUGCAAGUCUGCAGUGAAAGGCGGGGGCUCAACCCCCGGACUGCUCUGGAAACUGUACGGCUGGAGUGCAGGAGAGGUAAGCGGAAUUCCUAGUGUAGCGGUGAAAUGCGUAGAUAUUAGGAGGAACACCAGUGGCGAAGGCGGCUUACUGGACUGUAACUGACGUUGAGGCUCGAAAGCGUGGGGAGCAAACAGGAUUAGAUACCCUGGUAGUC